AUUAUUCAAUUUGCGGGACAAAAACAUCAAGCACGCAAAGGAAAUCUUCAAGUAGCUGGAAGCAGUUCAGCUCCCUGAGAAAGUGGCAAUCAUGCACAUCAGAGCACACCAAAAAGUAAACUCAGAAUUGGAAAAACGAAAUGAGCUGGUGGACAGAGAGGCAAAACAGGCAGCCAAAAAGGAGGUAAAGACAGAAGGGGCCCUGAUCCCCAAUGGGCAAAUCUCCCUAGAAGAAAAGACUCUGGAACCCCAAUUGGAAGGACCCUUUCAGGUCCUCCUUACGUUAUAUACCGCAGU